rnacentral:rRNA from 1 species
AUACAUCGGAACGUGUCCUGUAGUGGGGGAWAGCCCGGCGAAAGCCGGAUUAAUACCGCAUACGCUCUACGGAGGAAAGGGGGGGAUCKYAAGACCUCCCGCUASAGGGGCGGCCGAUGGCAGAUUAGCUAGUUGGUGGGGUAAAGGCCUACCAAGGCGACGAUCUGUAGCUGGUCUGAGAGGACGACCAGCCACACUGGGACUGAGACACGGCCCAGACUCCUACGGGAGGCAGCAGUGGGGAAUUUUGGACAAUGGGCGAAAGCCUGAUCCAGCAAUGCCGCGUGUGUGAAGAAGGCCUUCGGGUUGUAAAGCACUUUUGUCCGGAAAGAAAACCUYUGGGUUAAUACCCUGGGGGGA